rnacentral:tRNA from 1 species
UCAUUAGAGAGCUGUAAAUUUUAGCUUUAACCUUUUAAGUUAAUGAAAGCACAUAGUGCUUCUAAUGAA